AGCGAACGCUGGCGGCAGGCCUAAUACAUGCAAGUCGAGCGCACCUUCGGGUGAGCGGCGGACGGGUGAGUAACGCGUGGGAACGUGCCCUUUGGUACGGGAUAACUGAGGGAAACUUCAGCUAAUACCGUAUGUGCCCUACGGGGGAAAGAUUUAUCGCCAGUGGAGCGGCCCGCGUUGGAUUAGCUAGUUGGUGGGGUAAAGGCUCACCAAGGCUACGAUCCAUAACUGUUCUGAGAGGAUGAUCAGCCACACUGGGACUGAGACACGGCCCAGACUCCUACGGGAGGCAGCAGUAGGGAAUCUUGCGCAAUGGGCGAAAGCCUGACGCAGCCAUGCCGCGUGAAUGAUGAAGGUCUUAGGAUUGUAAAAUUCUUUCACCGGGGAAGAUAAUGACGGUACCCGGAGAAGAAGCCCCGGCUAACUUCGUGCCAGCCGCCGCAGUAACAC
rnacentral:rRNA from 1 species